rnacentral:rRNA from 1 species
UACAGAGGGUGCAAGCGUUAAUCGGAAUUACUGGGCGUAAAGCGUGCGUAGACGGUUAUGUAAGUCAGAUGUGAAAGCCCCGGGCUCAACCUGGGAAUUGCAUUUGAGACUGCAUAGCUAGGGUGCGGAAGAGGGAAGCGGUAUUUCCGGUGUAGCGGUGAAAUGCGUAGAUAUCGGAAGGAACACCAGUGGCGAAAGCGGCUUCCUGGUCCAGCACCGACGUUCAGGCACGAAAGCGUGGGGAGCAAACAGG